rnacentral:rRNA from 1 species
AGGACGAACGCUGGCGGCGUGCUUAACACAUGCAAGUCGAACGAGGUCCAACCGGUGGCAACACUGGUGAAGACCGAGUGGCGAACGGGUGAGUAACACGUGAGCAACCUGCCCCGAAGACUGGGAUACCACCGGGAAACCGGUGCUAAUACCGGAUAUCCCUACCGGGCCGCAUGACCUGGUAAGGAAAUGGAUUCCGCUUCGGGAGGGGCUCGCGUCCUAUCAGCUUGUAGGUGGGGUAAUGGCCUACCUAGGCUCCGACGGGUAGCUGGUCUGAGAGGACGAUCAGCCACACUGGGACUGAGACACGGCCCAGACUCCUACGGGAGGCAGCAGUGGGGAAUCUUGCGCAAUGGGCGAAAGCCUGACGCAGCAACGCCGCGUGAGGGACGAAGGCCUUCUGGGUUGUAAAACCGUCUUUCAGCAGGGACGAUGAUGACGGUACCUGCAGAAGAAGCCCCGGCAACUACGUGCCAGCAGCCGC